rnacentral:rRNA from 1 species
AAUAGAUACCCUGGUAGUCCACGCCGUAAACGAUGAGUGCUAAGUGUUGGGGGGUUUCCGCCCCUCAGUGCUGCAGCUAACGCAUUAAGCGCUCCGCCUGGGGAGUACGGUCGCAAGACUGAAACUCAAAGGAAUUGACGGGGGCCCGCACAAGCGGUGGAGCAUGUGGUUUAAUUCGAAGCAACGCGAAGAACCUUACCAGGUCUUGACAUCCCGGUGACCACUAUGGAGACAUAGUUUCCCCUUCGGGGGCAACGGUGACAGGUGGUGCAUGGUUGUCGUCAGCUCGUGUCGUGAGAUGUUGGGUUAAGUCCCGCAACGAGCGCAACCCUUAUUCUUAGUUGCCAUCAUUCAGUUGGGCACUCUAAGGAGACUGCCGGUGGUAAACCGGAGGAAGGUGGGGAUGACGUCAAAUCAUCAUGCCCCUUAUGACCUGGGCUACACACGUGCUACAAUGGACGGUACAAACGGUUGCCAACCCGCGAGGGGGAGCUAAUCCGAUAAAACCGUUCUCAGUUCGGAUUGUAGGCUGCAACUCGCCUACA